rnacentral:rRNA from 1 species
UACGAAGGGGGGCUAGCGUUGCUCGGAAUGACUGGGCGUAAAGGGCGCGUAGGCGGCGAUCACAGUCAGAUGUGAAAUUCCUGGGCUUAACCUGGGGGGCUGCAUUUGAUACGUGGUUGCUUGAGUGGGGGAAGAGGGUCGUGGAAUUCCCAGUGUAGAGGUGAAAUUCGUAGAUAUUGGGAAGAACACCGGUGGCGAAGGCGGCGACCUGGUCCUUGACUGACGCUGAGGCGCGAAAGCGUGGGGAGCAAACAGG